ACAGCAAAGAUGGUUCUGGUCACUUCCUUUCCAACAGGCUUUUCCCAUAACAAAUAUGGCGCUUCUGCUUCCGGAUUCUGGACUGCUGUUGCGCGGCGGACUAUGGCAACCGAGGAAGCCACUCCAGGCAGCCAGUCAGAGGAGAGCAAUGCUCUGGACCUGCCAUCCGCUUUUGACUUGAGGGAUUAUGUGCUGCAGAGACCCAGCCAGGAGGUCAACAGCGAGGCUUUUAGUUCUGUGGAAGCCCCUUCGUUUCCCUGCUCUUCUGAUGUGGAUCCAGACACCAGUAACCUAAAUACUGAACAAAAUGAUUCCUGGACCUCUGAGAACUUCUGGCUUGACCCUUCCAUGAAGGGCCACCCAGAGACCAAGACAGAGGAUGACGGACUUCGGAAAUCCCUGGAUAGAUUCUAUGAAAUGUAUGGCCACCCACAGCCAGCCUCUGGAAAUCCACUCUGUGCAUCUGUCUGCCAGUGCCUAUCUCAGAAAAUCAAUGAACUAGAGGGCCAGGAGAGCCAGAAGUAUGCCCUCCGCAGUUUUCAAAUGGCCCGAGUCCUCUUCAACCGAGAUGGCUGUUCAGUCUUACAGAGGCAUUCCAGGGAUGCCCAUUUCUACCCACCAGAAGAAGGAAGUGUGUCUCUGGAUGAUGAAAAGCCAACCCCAGGACUUUCAAAAGAUGUUAUUCAUUUCCUCUUGCAACAGAAUGUGAUGAAAGACCUAUAAUUGGUGCCUGGUGGUGACAUCAGGCAACAUGGAGGAUAGCCCUGUGGCCACUGCUGUUAGCGCACCGCCCAGGUCCCCUUGGGUCUCUCUUGCCGGCUCUGUGGUACUGGAGCCAGUUCAGCCCACCUGGGGAGCCUGCACUGUCCGGACGUCUUACAGCUCCCGAGGCUACCACCUCCCAUCCCAUCCUACCAUUCAUUUUGACUUAAGGUCAGUGACUGACUGGCUUGGGAAUCCAAAGCCCCAGCUUUCUUACCUCAAGACAGGGCGUUCUGUAAGGCAUAAUUUACUGUGCAGCGCUCCCCUCCGGUCAGGCUAAGGCUGGGACUUCACACUCCAUCACGCCUUGCUCACUCCUUCCCUUUCCCUGCGCUCCUUCUCCCAUUCACUUACUGGGACUCCCAGGAGCCUUUCCUCAAUGAAUCUCUUGUCCCUGAAUCCUUGACUCAGAGUCUGCUUCUGGGAGAACCCAACCUAAGAGAACAGGCAUCCAUUAGGUGAGUGUUCCGAACGGCACAAAGCCCUGUGUUCAAUCAAGCAUGAAAAUCAUACGAAAUUGUAAAACCGAGACCACAUGAUUGAGAAUGCGCAUCCCAAAAUGAUAAAAAGAUUUAAAUGCAGUUCUGAAAAGCAUAUCAUAUCUUAAUCAUACCCUUGUCUUUCCAACGUUCUGACUUUCACUGUGGGGUGAGGAGGGAACAUUUAUACCAUCUAAAAAACAGCUAAGAUUUGCAAAAAAAAAAGUCUCUACCAGAUUGCAAAUGUGAAAGGUAUAGAGAAAACAAAUGUGCACCACCUAGCAAUUGAGUGUAAGCUCAGUUAUGAUACCUUAGGCUGACCCAAUGCUGCCUCGCCAAUUCGUGGCAGAAGAGAAAAAGGAAUCCUUUGCCCCAAGUCGCCUCCUUCCUUUCGCUGUUUUUGCCUGCUGCCUGCCUGCUGUCCCGUCCUUGCUUUGCCAGGUAGCGGCUGUAAAUAGCCAGGGCAGGCUUGAGCUGGCAGGUGCUCUGCUCGGCAGCCACGUCCUGAACCCCAGUUUGAGAGUUGGUUGGGAGAAUGACAUCACCUGACACCACGCUCUCUGAAGCUGUUAUUGGAGGCCUCACACGCAUCCCUCCCUCAACAGUCCUUCAAACCAAUUUCUUUGACAGGAAGGAUUAUAGCAUUCUUUUGUAGGGAACAACAAGAGAAGCUGGCAACACUGGGCAAUUCGAUUUUGAGAAGCUGUAGGUGAAAUAUAAUUGGCAGAAUUGUCCAUAAACUUUCUAGAAAGCUGGUUUUACAAAUAGAUGAGCCUAACGUCAUACAUGAAGUGUGAGGGUGCCCUCUCAGGCAGGGUUCCUGGGGACUCCUGGCUGGCGAGGAAAGCCUUUUCAAGGUCAGGAAUUACAUAAUAAGGCUUCCAGUUCUGGGAAAAUCAGAGGUAAGAAAUAGCAUUGCACAUUGAAGCACAGAGCUGUGUGGAGACCUAACUGGUAGGAAAUAGAAAAUGAAUAGGUCUUUGAGAGAUACUUGAGGAAACUAGAUUCUAGAUUUUUCUCCAACAAGCAAUCAUCUGCUUCUUUCUCCAUGGGCUUCUCUUAUUCAACUGGCCCCCAAGUAAUCGUGAAAACAGUGGGUCUUAUAAUUGAAAAUUUAGAUUGAAUUUUAAGGGCACUAGUUUUAUUGGUUUUUAAUGUGAAGCAAAUUAAUAGACACCAUGAAGAAUGAGGUAGGUUUUAAUAGUAUUCAGUCGCUGAAAGAUUGGAAAUUGGUUUCCAUGGCUACCAACAGAAGGAAGCUGGAUUAAUUUACGCCGUUUGUAAAGGACAAAAGAUACAAGCUACUUGAAUCUCCCUGCAAAGCAGCAGCUUUUAUUUGGCAGUGAGAUUGUAGUAUCAUUAAUUUUGUGGCCUUUAUUAAUAUCAGUUCUGGGGGUGCUCAGCAAGAGGUAGACUCUGAAACCACAGAAUUUAGAAGUCUAAAAGCCAGAAUCAUGCAGGGUAAAAAAAGAGUGUGAUGUGUGCUUGUUUGUAUCUGAGUAAGUGCUUGUGACAGGUCAGUGCAAGAUAUUUGAUUCCCUGCAAUCUCACUCCUUAAUUUGAUCUUCAUAAGGUUAGGAUGGCAUUUUCCAUUUUUCUCUGUUUACCUUUAAUAAAGACUAAGAGAUAACAAUAUUGAGGCUCUGGCCUUUGACAUUAUGGUCUAAUUCUGCCCUACAGAACCCUUCACCAACAUCUUAUCAUCCCGUGAAAGUUCUGACUGGCCUAUGAUAUUGGCUGUGCCCUUUUCAGAGGUCUCUGUGAGGAUGGAUAUGCUUGCAGGACUGUCAGAACACUAAAGAGAGCUGCUACCAGUAUUUUAAGUUUGUGUGAGUGUUAUUCACUUCCUUAGUUUACUUCUUUGUAUGACCUCUGUCAGGGCACAUGUAAUGACCAGAAGGUAACACAAAGUAAUACAGCCAUAUUUUCUAAAGGUUUCUUUUAAAACCUCCACACAGAAAAAAUGUUUACAAGUGAACGUCUUAAUGAUUUUCAGAAAUAGAACCCACCUAUGCGACCAGAAUUCAACUCAAGCAACAGACACUACCAGCCAGCCUAGGCAGCCCCCUUCUGAGGGGAGAUUUUCAUCGGCUAGUACACAAAAUAAUUUUAGGCACUACAUGGACAGAUGAUGUUUAUUUUCAUUGUUAUCUAUGCAGUUGAAUGUGUUAGAAAAAUAUAUAACUACUACAUCUAAUCCGUGCUUUUACAGGUAUUACAUAGGUUUUUACAAUUUAAAAAUGAAUUUGAGGAAAUAUUAAAUUAAUAAUAGCACAGGCCAUACAUAGAUAUGCCAAAAAUUUUUUAAGUGGUACACCAGAAAAUGCAGAAUCUGGAAUACAGUGAGAUGGAUGUUCUGUCAUCCCUUGUGGUCUCCCAGCAUCUCUCCCCCAAAUACUGCGAGAGACUCCCACCACAUUGAUUCACAUCUGCCUUUGCCUCUCUUUACCCUGCAGCUAUAGUGCAAAUCCUUUUAAAAAGCAGAGCAUAUGUGAAUAGCCAGCAAAUUAAAGAGAAAGGACUAGUUGUCAAAUAAGAAAACAUUUUUGACUCUGUAGUAAUUAAAGCAACAAAACAGAAGUAGGCAAAUUGAUGUGAAUGAGUUCAGUCCAUAAUUAGAUAUAAAUGCACAUGGAAAAUGAGUAAUGAAGGUAGUAUUUCAAAUCUAUAAGGAAAUGUGCAAUUUACAGCAAAUGUUCUUAGAGUAAUUGGCACCUCACACUGGGAAAGGAGAGAAAAAGAGACUAGUCUUUUUUAUAGUAUCAUUGAUAGACAGUCUUACGAAGGUUUCACAUGAACAACAUUGUGGUUACAACAUUCACCCAUAUUAUCAAGUCCUCACCCUCCUCAUUGCAGUCACUAAAGAGACUAGAUUCUUCACCUCAUUCCUUAUAUCAAUAUUAAUUCUAGAUGGAUUAAAGAGUUUGAAGUAAAAAAAAUCAUAAAAAUGCUAGAAUAAAAAAUUAGUGCUAUAGACACAUAGGUAGAGAUAGUGAGGUAUCUUGGAUUAGGGGAGAUCUUUCUAAGUAGGACACAAGACCUAAAAAUGGUAAAAGAAAAAUUCGAUAAAAUUGAGAGAAAGAAAGAGAAAAAGAUAAAGAAAAAGAAAGAGAAAUAAGGAAAGAAGAGGAAAGAAAGAAGAAAAAAGAAGGAGAGAGGAAGGGAGGAAGGCAGGCUGGAAGGCAGGAAGGAAAGAAGGGCCUGCUCUCUCUGGCCGAAGGACCAGGAAAGAUGAAGUCUGGCAGAGCUUAGUGGGAAGACUCAUACGCAGUGACGGCACCAGGCCCAACCUGCUCCCAGCAGCAGCAAGAAGUAAUAGUGAGUUUUCAGUCCAUUUCCCACCCCACAGUCACAGACAGCAGAAGAUCUGCCCAUAGCAGUGUUAACAGUGACAUGCAGGUGAGCCAACCUACCCAACACCCCCCCCACCAACAAUCUGCCCACAUCAGUGAUAACAGAGAAACCCAGGAGCCAUGCUCAUGCACUGGGCCAUUCCAAGGGACAGAAAGCAGCCCCCUCCACCCUCAGUGGUAGUGCCAGAGGGCCUGGUGUCUCCCCAACCUCUAUGCAGUGGCAGAAGGUGACCCAGGGCCUCCCCCUACAGCUUCCUAAUGGCACCAGGCAGCCCAGGGAAGCACCUUCACCCAGACAGGCAUCACAUGUGGGAUUCCAGCGGGAGUUUGAGCAGAGCCAGGACAAAGUCGACUCAAACAGCAUUGCAAGGUCUCAGGAAACUGAACUGUCAUUGCAACUAUGGCCUAUAAAAGUAAACUUUAAAAACAACAACAGAAACCCUAAAUUGGUGGCUGCCUACUAAAAUAGAAGAUUUAUAUAAGAUCUGGGAUCUCCUAACAUAAUAUACAAAAUGUCCAGGACACAACAAAACCCCCCAAGGUCCUUAACACCAACAGGGGGAUGCAAGAACCCAGGUCCACGCCAUUCCACCCUAGGUGGUCUGCCCUCUCCUCAGUCCGUGGACUUUACACCCAAGGUCUUUGGCCUCCAAACAUCUCAUCCCUUCUCCAGCCCACAUGGCUCUACCAACUACUCAUUUAUGCUUUAAUCCUACACAGCAGGACCAUCCUCUAACUAUGAACAUGUGUACAUCUUCCUUCCCCAAACAGAUGGAAAGUUCUUGAAGGCCAGAGAGCUUACCUUAGCCAGGCUAGGCACAGAUCAGCACUGGGUAAAGACUGACCAUGACACGAACUGGUUCUCUAGCUAUGCCUUUCAUUCAGCUGCCUGGUGUAGUCAGCUUGACAACUUCUUUCUCUUUUCCUACAACUGCACCAUGUAAUCUUAAACCAGGAGCAAGGGGCAGUGGGGCUUGGAGAUAGCUUUGCACCUUCUGAGAGACAGCAUGGCAGAAGGAAGUGUCCAAAUGCGGAUUUCAGAGGGAACAAUGCUGCCAUUAACAAGCAGGCUGUCCAGGGAGGCUAGAACUACUCCUCCAGGCCCCAUUUCCAUCUGCAAAACAAGAAUAUUAGCAAAGCUCCAAGUCCCCCUCAGACUAAAAUGUUCUGUGACAAAUCUCCAUGAGGGUGGAUUCAGGAAACUAAUUUUCAAAUUGAUUGAGUGGUGUGGCAUUAUUGCUUGGAGAAUUAAGCUACUGUUCAUAACAAAUUCAUUUCCUGAGUUUAGCCUAGCAGCUAGUGUUUAUUAAGCAUCAUUUACCCUGCAGUGCCCUAGGUUGAGUGCUGUGGAGACACAGAAGUGGUAUCUUGCAGGAUCCUUGGCCUCCAGUUUAUUAUAUAAUCAGAAUUUGCUGUAUAAUAAAAGCUCACCAAGCUUAUGAUCCAGCAAAUUACUUUUUCUGUUUACUUUAGACUUCUAUAAAAUAAAGUUUUACUUGGGCCAUUACAUAUAAUCCCAUGUGACAUAACAAAUUUCUCUUUGUAAUUUCUGUAUUAUUUUCUAGGCAUUUAUAUAUAUAAUACAAUAUAGAUUUAUUAUUUUUUCUUUGUUAUCAUUAAUAUACAAUUACAUGAGCAACAUUGUGGUUACUAGAUUUCCCCCAUUAUCAAGCCCCCACCACAUACUGCAUUAUAGUCACUGUCCAUCAGCGUAGUAAGAUGCUAUAGAGUCACUAACUACUUGUCUUCUCUGUGCUAUACAGCCUUCCCUGUGCCCCCACCCUACAUUAUCAAUAUAGAUUUAUAUUUAGAUAAGAUAAAUGCAUUGAAAAUGUUUAUGUAUUUAAAAUUUCUACAUGGAUGAGCUGGGUUGGUUUGUUUUUUUAAUGUUUUAGUAAAUAAGAUGAUUAUAUUUCCAAACUUUAACAAAGGUAGAGAGAAUUCUUUUCCCCCAUUAUCAAGCCCCCACCACAUAUUGCUAUGCGUCCAGUACCCAGCUUCAACAGUACCCGACUUUGUAUGUGUGUGCUAAAGCAUUGUUUCCUAAGCUGUCAGUGGUGAAGGGCCCUUUCGGUUGAUUCCCAGUCUUCAAGGACCAAUGCCAGCCCACAGCUCAUGCUCAUGCCACACAGAACUCACCAGGCAAGUUGAGCAACACCCAGACUGGGCUGUAUCCUGGUCAGUGAGACAAGUCCUCUUCACUGCUCAGGUCUCAUGCCAUUGUGAAGUGCUAUGACAGUUUCUGAAACACGUACUGUCAAUAUCUGCACUUAUCACAGACCAAAGGAAAACCACUUUGCUAACAGGCACUAAGCCACAGACCAUACUUUGAAUAGUACUGUGCUAGAGUGUCUUAGAGCAGAUCCAAAGCAUUCUUUUAUUUGACCCAUGGGUAAAAUGAAUUCAGCACGUAUCUCUAAUGGAUAAGGACUUGAAAAAAAUAAAAAAACACUACCCCAAAGAUAAUUAUCAAUGAUUCCUUAACAUCAUCAAAUACUCAGUCUUUGUUCAUUUUUCCCUGACUGUCUAAAAAAUGCCUUCUUACAGUUGUUUUGUUUGAAUCAGGAUUUAAACAAGGAUCUACAGCUGCAUUUGGUUGAUGCACCCCUUAAGCCUCUUUUGAUCUAUAAUAGUCUCCCUCUCCUUUAAAAAUUGUUUUGAACCACUCCCAAAAUAGAUAGGUUCACCAUUAAUUAUCAAAGUUUUCCUGACCUGUUCCAAGUGGGUUUUUCCUGCAUUUGAUAUAGGAUGACCAUGGGAAGGGCUUGGAAAUAAAAUGAGCUCUCCUCUGCCUGCAAAAACCAUGUUCCAUGCAUGUUAUGACCACAUUUCCUCCUCCCCAGACUUGUUUCCAUGGCCUCAAAAUUACUUAGAUUAUUGAGUAUGUAACAAUGCCAAUCACACUCACUGUCUUAUCAACUGAUUCUGUUUGUCUCCAAGGAACCAUUCAUAGAGCAGACACCUGUGAACACUGUUAAAUGAACCAUGGGUUUUUCUUGGCCCUGGCAUGCCCCGAACAGGGCUUACCAGACACAGUCACCUCUUAGGGGACCUAUGCACAUGUAUAGUGACUUGAGACACUCUAUGAUUAUUUGAUUUGGAUCAGGUCCAUCUGUGGGCUUCACACAAUGACAUCUUUUUCCAAAAGCCCUGUCCCCUACCAAAAAGGACACAGAAACUCAAGUAGCUCUCAGUCUUCACUGGCCAACACUUCAUGCAGAAUCACAGACUUUAGAACAGGAAAGGAAACUUAGCAAUCAUGCAGUCAAGCUCUCUGCAGGCAAGGAGAUAAAGAACCCUCUGUCUAGUUGUCUGGUUAUCUAGAUACCUUCUGGGCAAGAGUCCAGUCUCUGACCUCCAAGAGAGACUCUGUAUACCGGGGAUAUCGCUUUCUGUGCCAGUCAGAGUUCUGGAGUGCACACAACAGAAGUGGACUCUUGCUGACUUUAGUAGAAGGCUAAUGAGUGGCUCACAGAAUCUAUCAGAAGGCUAGAUAGUCAGAUUUUGAAACCAGGCAGUAUCUGAAGGAGGUUGGGCAACAUGGACACAGCUGAGAUCAUGUUGUAGGGACAGUUUGGUUAGAAUGUCCCUAACUCUGGCCCUGCUGCCACUCUGGCUGUUGAACAUCCCCAUAACAGAGGUCAGGAGCUCAAGUGCCGCUGCUGCUAGGGAGUUUUAAACUGUCAUUGAGUAAAUUAGAAGUCCUAGGCGAGAACAUCUCAUUUGCUGAGGUUGGAACAUGUGACUCUCCUCUAGCAGCCAGGGGUCAGAGAAAGGACCAUCUGACUUGGCUUCCUACUAGUAGGAGGUGAGUCCUGCUUCCCACCAUGACCCGCCUCACAGAGGGACGGGUGUUAGGAUGCUAAACAUCCCCCUAUAAUGGCAAAUGACCAAUCCAUCUCUCCACGUGAACUUCUAUUGUUAGCACAUAGAUGUAGAUAAUAGUAAUUAUUUUAUUUCUGCAAAACAUGGAAGUAUUUAAUACCACCCACAAAAAUGGUUUACAGCCUCAGACAAACAGCAGUACCGAAAGCUUGUACAGCUUUAACCUCAUUGUGUUGAGCUUGUACAGCUUUAACCUCAUUGUGUUGAGCUUGCACAGCUUUAACCUCAUUGAAGGGGAAACCGUUUCUUCUGUGUCUUGGUGAUCCAGUGAUUGCCUCCUGGCCUACUUUCUGGAGGAAAACUAAACAUCAAUCUGUCGCCCUGACUUUCACUUCAGAUGCUCAGGGUGAGCUCAGUGGCUUCCAGGGGCACUAAAACUUCUCUCCUAGCAUUCCAUUAAUGAUUAGACUUGCACUUGAAAUUAUUCCAUGCUGCUAUGUAUCCAAUUGGUAGAGAGAUGAGCUGGAACACAGAUCUGUAGAGACACAGCCAGGAUUCUGCCCCUAGCCUCUCCAUGUAUUUCUGAUGGCUCUCAGUUUCCAUAAUGGGAGGUGGUGUUAUGUGGUUAGAUAAUAAGAAACCAGAACUGACACUGUGACAGCUGUCCCCAAAGGCAUAGAAUUUCUUUGUAACCAGGAAAAGAUGCCCUUGAGUUCUCUGGGCUGAGGUAAGAAUGUUUGGCAUUUCUUUCUCUGCUCUCUGAUUGCCUUAGCAGAUUACGAGAUGGAAAAUAAUAAGCCAGAGAGAUCCUCAAAGCAUUUGUCGAUGGUUUGUGUGUCUUCAUUUAGGUUUUCUCAGAAACAGACUCUAAGGCACAAAUUCAAGUGCAAGGGGUAUAUUAGAGUAAGGAAUUGGGAACUGAAAUGGGGAGGAAAAGAAGCCAAGAAGGUGCAUUAUCAAGCAAGUUGCCAUUGUGAACAGCUAAAACUCACCCUACUGGGAACUCUGGGGCCAGGGCAGAGUGUAAGCCUCAGUGCCAUCCUGCACAAAGGGUGAGGGAGCUGGGGUAUGUAAGCACCAAUUCCCACCAGUCUUUGACUGAAGACCACAGCUGGGAGGGCAGCAAUUCCCCAGCACUUCCAGCCUGCUGUGUGUGGACCCUGGCCUCAGACAAAGCCCUCAGGUAACGAGUAGGUGCGGGCAGCUGGAAGCCAAGCUGGUUUGCAGAGAACCAAGGCCCAAGGUGAUAUAGGAAGGGCACCUGCUACACUGUGUUCUCUUAUCCUCCAGACUUGUGCACAGAUUUUCCGUUCCCCACCCAUCCAAAGCCCAGAGUAAAUGUUCCUAGAAUCAAACAGGAGGUGCACCUCCUCUGCCACCCCAAACCACUAUCUAACUGGUACAGAUUGCUUAUUUCACUCUUUACUGUUCAGGAGCUCUCUGCCCACGUUACAGGGUCACUGCAAUCUAGUGCUCUUUCAUCCCUGCUUGGUAACGUGCAGCCACUCCGAAUCUCACCGCAGCCCUGGAAGUACUGAAUGAAUCUCACUGACUGGCUCCCACUUCCUUCCAUUCAACAACCGUCCUGUUGAAUAUUUGGGAAUGUCACAGUCUACAGAUAACGCACUUUCUCCAGGUCCUCAUCAGCUUUGAUGUUUGGAGAGAUUUACAAUGUACUAAACAUGGUAUUAAGGGCUUUACUAUCUUAUCACUGUCUCCAUCAUUUGAAAUUGAUGAGAUGGGUUUUGCCUACCUUGAAAAGAACAUCAGAGAAGCACAAUGUCAGGAAAGUGAGCGUUAAAGACCAGGCAAGCUUGUUUGAAGUCUCAAUCCUUUCAUUAAUAGCUGUGUGACUUUAAGCAAGUCAAUUAACUUCUCUGAAAGUCAGUGUUCCUAUCUUCAAAAUGAGGAUCAUGAACUGAUAAUGAACCCUACCUCAUAGGACCGUUUGAAGGUUUAACAGAAAUGAUGUUUACAACACAGAAAGCCCCUCGCAGGAAUGGAUGAGGUGGAUCAAGACUCUCAGUAAGUGACCAACAGUCUUAUUUUCCCCUCUCCGUCAGCCCGUACACUUCCCCACCUCACUGUCUUAAUUCAUGCACUUCAGCACUAGUUCCCUAGUGCUAUGGUGGCUUAAAACAACAGACAUCUAUUCUCUCACAGUUCUGGAACUAGAAAUCCAAAAUCAGGGUGUCAGUAAGGCCAUGCUCCCUCUGAAUCCUGUAGGGAAGAAUCCUUCCUCGCCUCUUCCAACUUUCAGGUGGUGGACAGCAGUCCUUUGUGUUCUUGGCUUAUGGCUGCACCACUUUAAUCUCUGCGGCCAUCUUCACAUGGCCUUCUUCCCUGGGUCUCCUCUGAGUCUGUAUCCAAAUCUUCCCUUCCUUUCUCUUCUACAGACAUCACUCAUUGGAUUUAGGGUCCACCCUAGCCCAAUAUGACCUUACCUUCAGUUAACUGCAGAUUACAUCUGCAAAGACCCUAUUUCCAAAAUAAGGUUACAUUUUGAGGUUCGUGAAUUUAGAUGGGGACAUUGUUUUACCUAUAAUGUCCCAUACAUUCACUUUGGCACAUCCAAAUUUCAGCCACUGUGAAAUGGAAGCCUACCUCAUGUUCCAUCAUCUGUGUUGUCCCUGACUGUGACAGUCACUAAUACCACCCAGUCAUAUGAACUGAUAGGAGCUGAUGGUGACCUUAGCAGUGGUGAUAGAAGUUAGAGUUGGAUAUCAGCAGGUAGAUUCUGGACAUAUUUUAAAGUUUAAGUCUCUAGGAUUUCCUACAAGAUUAACUUCUGGAUGUGAGAGAAUAGAGGAGUUAAGGAUGGCUUCAAGAUUUGUGAAUAAGCACCUGAAAGUAUAGAGACACCAUUUACUGGGAUGAGAUCCCGAAGUCUUAAUCAUACAUUAUAUAAUCUUGGGUGACAGCAGAGGUGGCUGAGAAUAGGUCAGAGAUGAGUCAGAAAUCAGACUAAGUACAAGAAAUGAGGCUCCAGAUUAGGCCCAACCACCUAGAAAUGCAGUUUGAUGCUGUAAUCUGUGAAUUUCUCCUAACAGAAGUUAAGGCAGUCCUAAGACUCAGGCAAGGUUUGCCCAUAGGCACAGGGUAAAGUGUGUUAAUAUGGGCAAAUGAGAAUGGCUUUGGCAGUCAAGUGACACUUCAAGAUCAAUACCUCCUUAACCCACUGAGAUUGGGCCAAAUGAUGUCAGAGUACAGAGAUAAAAAAAAAAAAAGACCUGCAUCCUCCGACCAGGAGUUCUGGAAGGUUUUCCAACCCAACCACCCACUUUACAGUGGUCACAGAAAUGUUUGCUUCAGCAGCACCCACCCCCACCCCAAGUUAUCGUGGGAGUUGCUGUUUCCAUGUGGAGCAAGAGCAGAGUUGGUCCAUGGAGUGCGCCAUGUCUCACAGGUCAUGAGCUGAGGGAUCCUGGGAAGAGUCUUAACUGAAGUGGGUCCCUGGGGAACCUCUGCACUGCGUUUGAAUUCCACUCAUGGACCCUCUCCCCUUGCAUAUCUUGAGGGACAAGUUGUUCUGAAAUGGCCCCAAGGGUAAUAUUGGUUUGGAACCCCCCAGUGCUCAUUAGUGCCUUGUUAAAGCAUAUUUUGUGCAAUUAUUCCUUCAGUAUUAGAUCUGGUGUGGUGGGAUGUUAAUCAGGUGCUUUGAGGACCGGCAGGUAAUGGAAGCUGGAUGAUUCAGAUGCUUACUCUAGAGAAGAAUGACAAGAAGACAGAGCUUUGUCCCUGAGUACUUAGUCCUCACCUCCCAAAGCUCUUGGUGUUUCCCCUUUGUCUGGAGAGAUGAGGAGAAAUGGAAAAGAAAGUAUGCAAAGGGGAAGAUUGAAGGUCCAUUGGUUGACUUAGCAUUUCAGUGUCUGCUCUGAGGCUUGCAUUACCUUUUGUGUACCCUUUCCUCUCAUAUCACAAAGUGAUAGCUUCCAGAAAUACUACUGGUGGGUUUACUUAGAGAAAAGGGUAUGACACUCUGCCUCUUAUAUACUUUCUCUCUCCACAUCUCCACUGUCAAAACAGUCCGCAGAGUAUCACAAUAAAGCACUGAAUUACUAGCAAACAAGCCAUUGCUCUAACUUUUGAAGAUGCUGUCUAUCCAUUUCAUGGAGUCAGUGGGUGAAUUCAUGGAUUGGGGGAUACAGGUUCACUUUUCAGUGACUAAACUAUUUUCCUUAAUAAGGCAACUCCCAUCCCUCCUGCUACCCUGCCCUUUUUUCAAUCUCUCCUUCAGCUCUAGAUUCAGUGAGGGUCUUUUGGGUGCCCCUUUACUUCCUUUCACACCUCUGAGAUGGAAACUGGCCCAUGUUCCAGGGUCUGAUGAACUCUGGGGCUUUUGUCUGCAGGAUCUGGGGCACUACUUUGCCCAUACAGUCAUAUUCCUGCAAAGGUUCUCUCUCUUUUCCUAAGUUAACUAUGAAGUCGGCCUGCGUUGUACUUCUGGUGGGGAAAUACCAAAUGCAGCAAGUCUUCCAAUACUUAUUUUCAUACUUGAUAGGGUAUUAAGUCUUCCAAAAGAAAAAAAGAUUGAGCUGAGACUGGUUUAUCCAUUGGUAUUUUAUAGUUUCAGGCAGUCCCACAUUUAUAUGGCAGUAUAUUAUUUCAUGCUCUUUCUUAGCUUUGUGUGUGCAUGUAAAAGAAAGGAAAGUUAGCUGGGUAGAGAGAGGAAGAGACAGAGUAAUCCUUUAAUAAAACUUAUGAGAAGUGGUCCUAUAUUUAUAAAUAUCUUUGUCACCCAGAGCAAAAAUGUGGGCAAUUACAUCUUGAGAUGUUUCAGACUAUGCAUAUUUACUUAACAAUAAUGGCUACUUGAGAACCAUUAUGAAUUAUUAGGAAAUAAAAUAUUCAUAGGUGUAAAGCUGAAAUUAGCCUACAUGGAAUUUUCCCAGAGUCUAUAUCUACAGAAUACAUUUUUGUUGAGGAGUGAACUGCCUGGGAAUUGGUAUGUUCUCAUAUUCACCAUAAAUAAUUUAAAACUCAGCAUCAGCACAAGGCUGCCUCCUCUCAGAGCAAAGAGGGCUUAUUAAAUCUUCUUGUUCUCUCAGAAUCACAGAGGCAGAACCAACUUAUAUUUCAUGACUCCUGAGGAUGAGCACAGAGAGGAGGGCCAGAGAAUUCAGCAGAGCACAAGGGGGAGACCUCUAAACCAGCAGAACAGGACUGCUUUUGAUUUCCAGUAUCAGCCACGUUAGUCUGAAGGUGAUAUAAUUUUAAGCUUAUGACCACCAUAUCUGGCUUGGUGCUGGAAAUUCCACAAUUUGAAAUACGUAUUUUGUAAUGAGACCAGACUUCAGAAAUCCCUACAAAGAGACGACUUUUAAAGGGAAAGAGGAGAAAGAGGCUGUGGACAUCAAGGCAUCAGAGACGAAGAGAAAUUGCUACUAAGUGGAAAGAACCCAAUAGUCAGGAUGUGGGAUCUGAUCUCUGUUACCUGCUGCUUAGCACAAGUGCUGGAGGAAGCCAGGGCCAUACCACCUGUGUGCUUCCACCAGGGACCGCACUCAAACUCAACAGUUACCCCUGGUUUCCCUCCCAGUUCUGGGCAUGGAGGAACCCCAAAGUUUCUCUAAUAUUUUGCAUUCAUCCUAAUCAGAGGCUGUCAUUUUUCUCCUUCAUUCUGAACCCAUUUACUUCUAUCUUUUGAGGAUUCUUCAUGAUUCCUGAAGCAAUCAGAGCAUUCCCUCUUAUACUGCAGAACUCAUAUGUAUAAACAAUGUGCAAGCAUUUUUCCAUCCUUUAUUAUACAUAUAUUGUGUAUUAUACAUACAUCCUUUUGAACAUGCUGAACUUGAAAGGUAUGCUCAAGAAACAGCUUCAAUCUUCUCUCCCAACUGCCUUCAAGCAUGUUCUGUCAAACCUCCCUUCCUGAUACUUGAACAGUAUCUCAAGUAGAAAUGACAGCUUUUCGUUAACUCUGGCCCAUUACAACAGUCCAAACCUCUAUUUUUCACCCAAUUCAAAGCUCCUUCAUCUCCCAGCUACUGCAUGACCCAGAACAAGUCACGGUGAAGAGGGAAGGAUUGACCCAUUCUUUUGUUCCCUCAUUUCUUUCCUUCCUAUCCUCCCCUUACCUUCCCCUGGCUUCUUCUAGUUUGGAACAAGGUGGAGGAUCAGAAAAGAUGAGAAGGGAUCAGAGAUUGCCAUUGCCAGUGUCCUCUGUACCACUCUCUUGGAUAUUCAAUGCCAUCCAUCUCUAGAGGCUGCCUUGCCCUUUCACAGGGGAUUUUUGUUGUUGCUGUUGUUGAUUAUUUGGAGUCCGCCAGGGCAGCCUCCUCACUCCAUCAAUCCCUGACAGGAGUGAUACUCUCUGACCUCUCACAAUGGCUGUCAGCUACCAUCAUCAGCUCCCCAAGGUUCCCUUGCUGCAUCAAAGGGGGACCUUUUAGGAAGACUUGAGACCAGUAACAUUCCAUAGAGUGAACUUGACCCAGGGAAAAACUCUGGGCAUGGAGACACUUGAGCCACUGUCCUUUGUCCCCAACUUGUCAUUGCAGGAUGCUCCAGCUGACCUCCUGCCCACCUCUACCUUCUUCACUUGAUUCUCAAAUUCUCAAAUUAAAUUGCCCUAUGGCCUCCUUCCCUUAUUACAGGGAAUCCUUGGGUUUCUGCAGCUCAGCAAGCAAUCAGUUAGGAAAUGAAAUGUCAGUCUCCCUUCCUACAGAAAACUCCACUUUUUAUGAACUGUUCUCCUCGGGCUCCUCACUUGGCUGAGGAAGAAGCAUCAUGAAACAGUACAGGGCUCCCUACAACUUCCCUUCAAAUAAAUUAUUUCCCCAACCAGUCUUCUUUAUUUGGAAAAAAACCCUUAAAGUCAGAGGAGAUUAAUGCUUGUCCUAUUGGCCACAAACACAGGAAAUCCUGUAGAUGUACACUUGCAGGGGAGCUGUUUCCAUGAUAGUGCCAUUUUCCUGGCAUGCCAUGCUUUCUUGCCCUCCUCUGUGGAGUCUACCCUACCCCUCUCCCACCUUUACUCCCUAACUGGCUGGUGAACUCUGCCAUUAAUGUUGGGAAUGACCGUGUUGGGUAAAAUUGUAAUAUUUCCAGAAUAUCUCAUCUGGCUUUAGUGCAUUUGCAGAUCAAUAGGCAUUCCUCAGGGGUGGAGUAAGUUCAUCAUAUCAGUGGGUAAUUACCUGGGCAACCCAGGGCUUAUCUGAACCUGAGAGGUGAGGGAGAGGGUUGGUUUUGCUUCUGCUGGAGCAGGAAAGAGAGAUGGCCCUGGACUGCAGUUUGUAAGUAAUAAAUGGAUUUUAAACUUUA